rnacentral:misc_RNA from 1 species
AAGUCGUAACAAGGUUUCCGUAGGUGAACCGGCGGAAGGAUCAUUAACGAAUUCACGAUUCGGCGAGGGGGAAGGCCGAGGGUUGUAGCUGGCCUUUUUCAAAGAGGCACGUGCACGCUCUCUUCCCUAACUCUCGCCGUAUGGGGCGCGGGGCGACCCGCGUCUUUCAUCUCACCUCUUCGUGUAGAAAGUCUUUGAAUGUUUUUUACCAUCAUCGAGUCGCGACUUCUAGGAGACGCGAUUCUUUGAGACAAAAGUUUAUUACAA